rnacentral:rRNA from 1 species
AAUGAACGCUGGCGGCGUGCCUAACACAUGCAAGUCUGACGGGAAAGUGCUCUUCGGAGGGCGAGUACCGUGGCGAACGGGUGAGUAACACGUGGGUAACCUGCCCUCAGGAUCGGGAUAACCUUGCGAAAGCGAUGCUAAUACCGGAUAAGACCACAUUUCGUACGCGGAAUGGGGUAAAAGGUGGCCUCUUCAUGAAAGCUACCACCUGAGGAUGGACCCGCGGCCUAUUAGCUUGUUGGUGGGGUAACGGCUCACCAAGGCUACGAUGGGUAGCCGGCCUGAGAGGGUGUACGGUCACACUGGCACUGAGACACGGGCCAGACUCCUACGGGAGGCAGCAGUGGGGAAUUUUGCGCAAUGGGGGAAACCCUGACGCAGCAACGCCGCGUGAGUGAUGAAGGCCUUCGGGUCGUAAAGCUCUUUUAGUGGGGAAGAAACUCCUCGGAACGAACAAUUCCGGGGCUUGACGGUACCCACAGAAAAAGUUCCGGCUAACUACGUG